GGGUGACUAGUGGCAGAGUGAGGGAGGGAAGGGGUGACUAGUGACAGAGUGAGGGGAUGACUGGUGACAGAGUGAGGGGGGGGGGUGACUGUCACCAGUCACCCCAUCCCUCUCUCUGUCACUAGUUACUCCCUCCCUAACUCUGUCACUGUGUCACCCACUCCCUCACUCUGUCACUAGUCACCCCCUUACUCUGUCACUGUGUUACCCCCUCCCUCUGUCACUAGUCACCCC